AAACAAAUUAUAUUUCUCAUCAUUCUCCAGGCAUCUUACUAUUAUAUUUCUUAUCUCUACACUUAAAUGGAUAAAUAAUGAUUAGAUGAAUAGAUCAUUGGAUAACUCAGUGACUGUUCAAAUAUUAUUUGGAAAAUUACAAUACAAUUCCAAUGCAAUGAGCUCUCCCAUAAAGGCAUUUAAAUAUCUGAGAUGUACAUAUUUUGAGAAAAGAAUAACAAAGGCCAGUGUCUAAACCCUGAAAGAACAAUAUACAAAUUGUUUGAAGUUCUGUUGUGAGGGGAGAUUAUUUGGUAGUCACAUGCCAACAAUUGGGCCUUAUGCUUUCAUUAUAAUUGUCUGUGGGUGACAAUAUUGACUGAGCCAGGCUGCUGCUAGGCAGGAUAAGUGUAUGAAGGUUUAAUACUCUUGGAAAAUUUCAAGCUUAUUAGCAUAAUUGCUGUGAUGAAGACUGAAGAGCUUACUUAACAUAGCUGACUAGAGUAGACAAUAGAUGCAUAAGCAGUGUCCUAAUUAUUGAAUUAAUGAGUCCCAAUUGUUUGUCCUUACUGUAAAUGGUCCUUGCUAUGAAAAAGACAUUUUGCUGAAGGAGUCUGACAAUUGUGUUAGCUGACAAGUGGCCAGAAUGUAAUUAAUGGUGGGGGAGAGCCAAUUACUACUGGGUCCUAAAGACUUCACUGGUGAGUUUCAAGGAAAAAUUGCAUAGCUAUAUAGUAGUUUCAUAUCAACUCCUCUUUUCCUUUGUAAAAUCGUGGAGCCUGAUUCAGUGCUCUUAUUUUGCAGUUGAGGAAACUGAGGCCCAGGCUUACUUCUCCAAAGUCCUGUGACCACUUAGUGCCAUGGAUUGUGCAGGAUAAAAUCAAGACUCUUUAGCAUAACCUAAAAGAUCCUUAAUGAUCCAUCCCAGGCCAGUCUCCGUAGUGUCACAUCUCAACACUCCCCAUCUUGCUCCCUUUUCCCCAGCCAGACUGAACUCCUGACAGUUUCCAUAAUCACCAUGUUCUCUCAUUCCCCAGUGCCUAUGCUGUGCUCUUUGUUCUGCUAGAAAGCACUUGCCCUAUGGUGCCUGACCAACCUCUGCUCACCCUUCGAAGCUCUGUAUAGAGUUUCAGUACCCUCAUUCAUUCAUUGACCUCUCUAUUCAUACAUACAAAGACACACACACACAAACACGUGCGCACACACACACACACACACACACACACACACACUCAGCCAUUCAGUGUUUAUUGUAACAGCCAGGUUCUUAGUUGCAAGCAACAGAAGAAAUUGAUGUUGGCUGACUUAAGGAGAAAGAGAAUUUGGUGAAAGGAUAUUGGGUGGCUGACACAAUUGCUGGGAAGGCCCCUGCAGAAACAGGCUCAGACAAUAAGCAGAAGAAACAAGGAAGGCUAGGCAGCAGCCAGGAAGACAGCCAAGACACAGGACCACAUACUGAGGGAGGAAGGCAACCAUCACUGCCACCACCAUUCCACACAGGAUGCCAUGGCCUUCACUUCCAAGUCAGUGUCACUGGGCAUUACCCACCAUUCGCUACCCACCACUCUCACUAUCAGCACUGUUGCUCCUGGCAAUCAGAUGUCACUGCAGUGCCUGUUACUGCCACCAGAAUUGUUUCUCCACCACCCGUAUUUUGCAUUACUAGAGCCCUGUCUUUGAAGCCCGGGGCAGAUCUAUUAGGUCAACCAAGCUUAGCCUAUGUUGCAUGCUCUGCUUGCAGGCAGGGUUGAGAAAGUAAGGAGCUAACAUUUUGGUAGCCUUCUAUAUUAUAGUGGGGAUCUGCUUCUCUCCAGUAAUCCUCAGAUAAUUAUCUAAACAAAAUAAAGGGGGCCAGGUUCUGGGGAGCCCCUAAAUGACAAAUGUCCACCAUGUUCUCAAAAUUGCUCAACAAAUAAAUUGUGCAUCUACCUGUGCCAUGUUGUCUUUGAGGCACCAGGGAUACAAAAAUGAAUAAAGUGACCACUUCAUACCCACUAAGAGGGCUAUGAUCAAAAAGACAGAAAAUAACCAGUGUUCCUAAGGAUGUAGAGAAAUUGGAAUCUUCAUAUAUUGCUGGCAAGAAUGUAAAAUGGUGCAGUCAUUCUGAAAAGCAAUCUGGUAGUAUUAACACCUCUAAAGAUUAGACAGAGUAACCACAUGAUCCAGCAAUUCCACUUCUAGGUAUAUACCCAAGGGAAAUAGCAACAUAUGUCCACCCAAUAACGUUUACACAAAUGUUCAUAGCAUUCAUAAGACCAUGAAGUAGAAACAUCCCAAAUGCCCACCAACUGAUGAAUGAUAAACAGUGGCGUAUCUAUACAAUGGAAUAUUAUUCAGCCAUGAAAUUAAUGAAGUAUUGAAACAUGCUGCCAUAUGGAUGAAUACUGAAUCUUGAACCAUUAUGCUAAGUGAAAGAAGUCGGUCACAAAGGUCACAUACUGUGUGAUUCCAUUAUAUGUAACAUCUAGAAUAAGCAAAUCUAUAAAGAUAGAAAGUGGAUUUGUGUUUGGCAACGUCUGGGAGUGGAGAUGGGGUGGGAAGGGGAGUGACAGCUCAUGGGUACAGGGUUUCUUUCUGUGGUAAUGAAAAUGCUGUAAAAUUAGAUUGCAGUGAUGAUUGUAUAGUUCUGUGAACAUACUAAAAACCAUUGAAUCAUAUACUUUAAAUGAGUGAAUUGUG
rnacentral:lncRNA from 10 species